UGCAACGAAAAAGACCGUGCGGUGAGC
rnacentral:sRNA from 1 species